rnacentral:rRNA from 1 species
CCUACGGGAGGCAGCAGUAAGGGAUAUUGGUCAAUGGGGGAAACCCUGCACCAGCCACGCCGCGUGAAGGAAGAAGGAUCUAUGGUUUGUAAACUUCUUUUAUAGGGGAAUCAAGGUAUCCACGUGUGGAUAUUUGCAUGUACCCUAUGAAUACGCAUCGGCUAACUCCGUGCCAGCAGCCGCGGUAAUACGGAGGAUGCGAGCGUUAUCCGGAUUUAUUGGGUUUAAAGGGUGCGUAGGUUGUUUUUUAAGUCAGCGGUGAAAGGUUGUGGCUCAACCAUAAAAUUGCCGUUGAAACUGGAAGACUUGAGGGUGUUUGAGGUAGGCGGAAUGCGUGGUGUAGCGGUGAAAUGCAUAGAUAUCACGCAGAACUCCGAGUGCGAAGGCAGCUUACUAAGCCAUAACUGACACUGAAGCACGAAAGCGUGGGGAUCAAACAGGAUUAGAUACCCGAGUAGUC